rnacentral:lncRNA from 1 species
GCCACAAAAGAUUGUUUGAGCUGCUCAAAGGAGUUAAUAUUCUCCGGCUGCAGUCCAGAAUACCAGGCUCGAGCAGCCUUCCGAAUAGUUGUCGGAAAGUCGAUGCAUAAGAGGACGUCGGUUGCCCUCUGGAUCAUCAUGAGAGUCUUAUAGCUCUUUAAAUAGUCAAUUGGAUCGAUGGAGCCGUCGUAUGGCUUCAUCUGCGGCAUCUUAAACCAAGACAGAAUCGGUUCAUCCAAGAUGCAUUGAG